rnacentral:tRNA from 1 species
CAAUGGAUAUUUUAUUUAAAAUAAUAGUUUUGGGAAUUAUUGAUGAGUUUAUUAAACUUUCCUUUGA